AUCCAGUUGACGAAUCCUAAAUAGGAUGAAAUGCGCUUCCUGGAU
rfam:Schistosoma rodhaini strain Burundi genome assembly, scaffold: SROB_scaffold0000836